rnacentral:rRNA from 1 species
GUACGGGAGGCAGCAGUGGGGAAUAUUGGGCAAUGGCCGCAAGGCUGACCCAGCGACGCCGCGUGUGGGAGGACGCCCUUCGGGGUGUAAACCACUGUCAGAGGGGACGAACGCCGGUGUGGUGAACAGCCAUGCCGAAUGACAGUACCCUCAGAGGAAGCGCCGGCUAACUCUGUGCCAGCAGCCGCGGUAAGACAGAGGGCGCGAGCGUUGUUCGGAAUCAUUGGGCGUAAAGCGCGCGCAGGCGGGUUCGCAAGUCGGGAGUGAAAUUCCGGGGCUCAACCCCGGAGCUGCUCCCGAAACUGCGAGUCUGGGGACCGGUAGGGGCCGGUGGAAUUCCCGGUGUAGCGGUGGAAUGCGUAGAGAUCGGGAAGAACACCUGUGGCGAAGGCGGCCGGCUGGGCCGGAUCCGACGCUGAGGCGCGAAAGCGUGGGGAGCAAACAGGAUUAGAUACCCGUGUAGUCCU